AAAUCGCAUGAGGGAUAGAAGUGGAAAUCCUUUUGUGUACGCCACGGCGAACACAAAAGAUUACUUCGUCAUUUCGCUAUCGCUCGUGUGGAACGGAUAGCCCGACCCGGA
rnacentral:sRNA from 1 species